GACAGAGGGUGCAAGCGUUGUUCGGAAUUAUUGGGCGUAAAGGGCGCGUAGGCGGCUACAUAAGUCAGGUGUGAAAUCCCGGGGCUUAACCCCGGAAGUGCGCCUGAUACUGUGUGGCUCGAGUCCCGGAGAGGGUGGUGGAAUUCCCAGUGUAGAGGUGAAAUUCGUAGAUAUUGGGAGGAAUACCGGUGGCGAAGGCGACCACCUGGACGGAGACUGACGCUGAGGCGCGAAAGCGUGGGGAG
rnacentral:rRNA from 1 species